GCGUGGCUGUGUAACAGCAUACAAUGGCAAAAAGAACCAGAACUCCCAAACUGGCCCAGCCAGCUUCUUUUACAGUAAAAGGGGUGGAGAGAAGCCCAACUCCAGCCAAUACAUUGAUUCCUGUCUCAGAGUGGACGGCCACAUGAACAAAAAACAAAUAUAUAUGUAUACUGUUAGAAAUUUUGAAACUCAUCAAGCUGCAUUGCUUUUUACAAUUAAUAGCAUUUUCAUCAUAAGGACAGAAGACUUUUUCAAAGAGAACGUAUAACAGAAAACAUAGGCUACCAUUGAAGAUGGUCUGUGUGAAGCUGCACCCACGGCCAAUAGGCAAUUCACCAGUCAUUUGCUUAGAAAUUGUGGUUCUCUCUGACCUUAACGAUUGGAGUCUUGAUAUGUUAUAAAAAUCCUCAUUUUGAUCAUCACCA
rnacentral:lncRNA from 1 species